rnacentral:rRNA from 1 species
GGGGGAAAAUUAAAUAAAUAUAAUUAUUAAAAGAAUUUUUAAGUUAAAAAUAAAUAAUGGGGGUUAAAGUAUUUUUAAUAGAAAAAAUUAAUAUUUUAAUAAAAAAUUAGUAUUGAAAAAGAAAUUUGAAAUAUCGUUUAAAUAUGAAUUAAUAAAAAAGAAAUUUUAAAUUAAUGUAUCUUGUGUAUCAGAGUUUAUUAAAUAAAAAAUUUAAUUAAAUGAAUCUCGAAUUUAAAAGAGCUAAUUAAUUAAAAAAGUUAAUGUGGAAAAAUUAUUUUAAAUAAUUAAUUAGAAAUGAUAUGUUAAUCGUUUUUAAAUAUAUCUAGUUUUUUUAGAAAAAAAUUUAAUUUUAAAUUUAUUUUUAUAAAAUUUAUUUAAAAUAAAUUUUAUAAAAAUAAAUUUAAUAAUUUAAGGGAUAAGCUUUAAAUUAAAUUAUUAUAAUUACAAUAAAAUUAAAUUAAAAUUUUUAAAAUUUAAAUUGUUUAAAAAUUAUAAUUUGUUAUAAGAAAAUUUUAUAAUAAAUAAAAUUUUAUUAAAAAUUUAAUUUUUUAUAAAAAAAUAAUUUUUAAUUUAAAAAAAUUAGUUAUAAUGAUGAAAUUAGUAUAUUAAUUAAAUUUAAAUAUAAAUAUUAAAUUAAAUUAAUUAAAAGGAAUUCGGCAAAUAAAUAUAUUCACUUGUUUAUCAAAAACAUGUCUUUUUGAUAAUAAUUUAAAGUCUAAUCUGCCCACUGAUAUAAAUAUAUUAAAGGGCUGCAGUAUAUUGACUGUACAAAGGUAGCAUAAUCAUUAGUCUUUUAAAUGAAGACUUGUAUGAAAGAUUUGAUGAGAUAUAAGCUGUCUCUUAAUUAAUAAUAAAAUUUUAUUUUUUAGUAAAAAAGCUAAAAUUUAAUUAAAAGACGAGAAGACCCUAUAGAGUUUUAUAAUUUUUUUAUUUAAAAUUAAUUAUAAGAUUUAAUAUUAAAAAUAAGAGAAUUAUUUUAUUGGGGUGAUAGAAAAAUUUAAUUAACUUUUUUUAAAAAUUAAACAUUAAUAAAUGAUUAAAUGAUCCAUUAAUAGUGAUUAUAAGAAAAAAUUACCUUAGGGAUAACAGCGUAAUAUUUUUUUUUAGUUCAUAUAAAAAAAAAAGUUUGCGACCUCGAUGUUGGAUUAAGAUAAAAUUUAAAUGCAAAAGUUUAAAAUUUUGAUCUGUUCGAUCAUUAAAAUCUUACAUGAUCUGAGUUCAGACCGGUGUAAGCCAGGUUGGUUUCUAUCUUUAAAAAAUUAAAAUAUUUUAGUACGAAAGGAUCAAAUAUAUAAAAUAAUUUUAAAAAAAGAAUAUUAUUAAAGAUAAUUAAAAUUGAUAAAUUAGUUAAUUGGUAUAUAUAUAUAUAUAUAUAUAUAUAUAUAUAU